ensembl:lncRNA
GAAAUUUUAUGAAAACACAGGAGAAAUGCAGGGACAUGAAUAAUUUGACAGAGGGGAAGACACAAGGAAGAGAUAGAGGGAAUACUGAAGAAGUAAAUAAACUCAGAAAGUCAGAAAGUAUUAUCAUAAACUUUAAUAAAAACAGGAACAGGAACUAAGAGCUAAUAGCUCGAGGUAAUAAAGAAAAGCAUCAAAAUCCACAUGUAAACGUAAACAAACUUACCACUAAAUAGAGAACGCUAAAGCAGAAUCUAAAAAGUCCAAAAAACCCCGGGGCCACGGCACAAACACCGCUGAUGACAACAGCGAAGCUUCUCUUCUAUUUGGGAGCGAGCCUUAAUUAAUAUAAUUACUAACACCUGUGUUUACCUGUUGUUUCAUAGCUAAACUAAAGGUGUGUUAUCUUCAACUUAUUCAACUGACGGUCACGUGGGGCUGGAACCUAUCAUUUGUUUUUCCAUCUAGUCUCUCAGUGUUGUGGUCCCAUUCACCCAGACGGUAAUCAAGUGUAUAAUGCAACUUCUAAUGGUGUGGCAAUGGGAUUAGAAGUGUGGCCCCACAUCAGCACCGUGACAAAUUAAUAUUUUUUUUAUGUGCCACUGGUGGAAACAGUGUAAACACAGCAUCUUUCAAACUGUUCUGGUUUGUAAUGAGAAUCCCAUUCUCAUUCACGAUGACAGAUUUUUAGUCUUGUUUGUUUUUCUUCUUCUUCUUCUUCUCAAAGGCCGCUUUUUCUUUCUUUCUUUUUUUUUUGGUUCUUCACCAUCGACUGUGACUCUGUAAAUGAUGCAUAGCUCUUAAAAUCGCUUUCUUGGAAAACUAAAUACCAGACAGGACCAAAUAACAUUCUUUAAUACCACAGGUGGGUGAUUCAGUCUGAGAAAGCAUGAUGCAGAUGUGUCUCUGAUGCUGGCCGCCGUGAUUUAGAUGACUGGAGCUUCACUCUGCACCCUGUAGGUGUGCGCGAACAUAUGAACUUGCUAGCACACGCACGCCAUUACCAAAGCUUUUAAAUGAUUCUCAGGUGUAUGGGUGCUGCCCCGUGCUGAAAGCAGCCGUGGCCCUAAAUGUCUGCAGAGGACUCUGGAGCUCUGGAGCUCUGACAUCAUCCUCACUUCCCAUAAAUACCAGAUCCUACGCAUGCCUUUCCACUCGACCCCACGACGGGCACUUAGCGAGGCAGGGCAAUGUGG